CGGCGUGGGACGUUUGCGCUUUUUCAUAGGACAUUUGCGCUUUUUAUUUUGGACACUUGCGCUUCAAAUCAUAGGACAUUUGCGCUUUUUAAAAAUAGACAUUUGCGCUUUUUACAUAGGACAUUUGCGCUUUUGCAAUAUUUGGUUUUUAAGACUAUCCUCCUCUUUUAUCCGGGCUUGGGACCGGCAGGUUUGACCUUGAAGAGUUGAAGACAUAUUGUUCUUUAUGAUUAAAAGUUUAAAAUCGUUUCAUAGCACAUUGAUGUAUGUUUUAAAGUUUAUAUACAGCUAAAAAUAAACAUUAUAAAGACAUACAAACACGUAAAGUCAUCACAUGUCAGUUUAGCUUGAUAUCUG
rnacentral:lncRNA from 1 species